rnacentral:rRNA from 1 species
AUAAUAAUUAGUCUUUUAAUUGAAGGCUGGAAUGAAUGAUUGGACGAGGUAAUUUCUGUCUCAUUAAAAUUAAAAUUUAAAUUUAAUUUUUUAGUUAAAAAGCUAAAAUUUUAUUAAAGGACGAGAAGACCCUAUAGAGUUUUAUAAUAUGUUAUAAAUAAAUUUUAAUUUUAAUUUGUUUAUAUUAUAUUAUUUUGUUGGGGCGAUAAGAAAAUUAAUUUAACUUUUUUAAAUUUAUUACAUUGAUUUAUGAAUUUUUGAUCCUAAAUUUUAGAUUAAUAGAUUAAGUUACCUUAGGGAUAACAGCGUUAUUUUUUUUUAGAGUUCAUAUUAAUAAAAAAGAUUGC